rnacentral:rRNA from 1 species
AUUGAACGCUGGCGGCAGGCUUAACACCUGCAAGUCGAGCGGGGGAGGUUGCUUCGGUAACUGACCUAGCGGCGGACGGGUGAGUAAUGCUUAGGAAUCUGCCUAUUAGUGGGGGACAACAUUCCGAAAGGGAUGCUAAUACCGCAUACGCCCUACGGGGGAAAGCAGGGGAUCUUCGGACCUUGCGCUAAUAGAUGAGCCUAAGUCGGAUUAGCUAGUUGGUGGGGUAAAGGCCUACCAAGGCGACGAUCUGUAGCGGGUCUGAGAGGAUGAUCCGCCACACUGGGACUGGGACACGGCCCAGACUCCUACGGGAGGCAGCAGUGGGGAAUAUUGGACAAUGGGCGGAAGCCUGAUCCAGCCAUGCCGCGUGUGUGAAGAAGGCCUUUUGGUUGUAAAGCACUUUAAGCGAGGAGGAGGCUCUUAAGGUUAAUACCCUUGAUGAGUGGACGUUACUCGCAGAAUAAGCACCGGCUAACUCUGUGCCAGCAGCCGCAGUAAAAC